UGGAAGAACCAAGAGUCUACAUCUUGAUUCA
rnacentral:piRNA from 1 species